ensembl:lncRNA
GCCAUUUUGGUGCUCUCUCCCGUAGGUUAAGCAAUGGCAGUAUGAAAGAUGACUUUCUGUUUCAUGGAACUCUACACCAGAGGAGAGGGAGUGGCUUCCUCCUGGACUGGGUUCCCUGUAUGUAGAGGGGGAGUGGCUUCCUACUGGACUGGGUUCUCUGUAUGUAGAGGGGGAGUGGCUUCCUCCUGGACUGGGUUCUCUGUAUGUAGAGGGGGAGUGGCUUCCUCCUGGACUGGGUUCUCUGUAUGUAGAGGGGGAGUGGCUUCCUCCUGGACUGGGUUCUUUGUAUGUAGAGGGGGAGUGGCUUCCUACUGGACUGGGUUCUCUGUAUGUAGAGGGGGUGUGGUUUCUUUGAAAGGAAGUGUGACAGUGUGUUGGGUAGACCCGGCGACCAUGUCAGCGUGCACUGUACACCCGGCGACCGUGUCAGCGUGCACUGUACACCCGGCGACCGUGUCAGCGUGCACUGUACACCCGGCGACCGUGUCAGCGUGCACUGUACACCCGGCGACCGUGUCAGCGUGCACUGCGCCCGGCCCGCCACAGGAGUCGCUCAUGCGCAUUGGCACAAGGACAUCCCUGCCGGCCAAACCCUCCCCAAACCCGGACAACGCCCCAUGGGUCUACCGGGUCAACAGAGUUUGGAUUCAAACCAGGAUCUGUAGUGGCACAGCAGUAAGAUACAGUGCCUUAGGACACCGACCACUAGGAGGCCUGUCAUGGAGAUUCUAACCAAUAGGGAGAGAGACAAGAUUAUUCAAACAGCAACUUUAUUAUCAGAUCAAAUCUGGAUCAGUUGACCAUCACUCAACAGUGCAGAGUCUAAAGUUCAACAAACAGGGUGGAGUCUCAUCUUUUCUAGAAAAGUACAACCUCUGUCUACAUGGCAGGUAGCAGCUGUGUGAAGACAUGGGUGGAGGCAUAGAGUGCAGACAGUGAUAACCACCAGUUUCAUGACUCUUUUCUGAUGAUAUUUAGGUGCUGCUGCUCCAGCUAGUUUCUGUUCUCUGGCAUGUCUCCACCCAGCUGGGUCCUUUGCAGAUACCAAAAAACAGGACAUGUCACUCAGUGGUCACACCCAAACAGCACUUGGCCGCAUUCCUGAGGUACACAAAGGCAGUUUGUUUCAGUAGAAACUUACUAGCUAAUAACUAUGCAUCAUUCUCUGAGUAGAAAACAGAUUGACAGAGGAGACAUACAGGUAGUGGGUUAGUGUGGGUUACUGAUCCUAGACAGAGGAGGCAUACAGGUAGUGGGUUACUGAUCCUAGACAGAGGGGACAUACAGGUUGUGGGUUACUGAUCCUAGACAGAGGAGACAUAGAGGUAGUGGGUUAGUGUGGGUUACUGAUCCUAGACAGAGGAGACAUACAGGAAGUGGGUUAGUGUGGGUUACUGAUCCUAGACAGAGGAGACAUACAGGUAGUGGGUUACUGAUCCUAGACAGAGGAGACAUACAGGUAGUGGGUUAGUGUGGGUUACUGAUCCUAGACAGAGGAUACCUACAGGUAGUGGGUUAGUGUGGGUUACUGAUCCUAGACAGAGGAGACAUACAGGUAGUGGGUUACUGAUCCUAGACAGAGGAGACAUACAGGUAGUGGGUUAGUGUGGGUUACUGAUCCUAGACAGAGGAGACAUACAGGUAGUGGGUUAGUGUGGUUACUGAUCCUAGACAGAGGAUACCUACAGGUAGUGGGUUAGUGUGGGUUACUGAUCCUAGACAGAGGAGACAUACAGGUAGUGGGUUAGUGUGGGUUACUGAUCCUAGACAGAGGAGACAUACAGGUAGUGGGUUAGUGGGGUUACUGAUCCUAGACAGAGGAGACAUACAGGUAGUGGGUUAGUGUGGGUUACUGAUCCUAGACAGAGGAGACCUACAGGUAGUGGGUUAGUGUGGGUUACUGAUCCUAGACAGAGGAGACAUACAGGUAGUGGGUUAGUGUGGGUUACUGAUCCUAGACAGAGG